rnacentral:rRNA from 1 species
UACAGAGGGGGCAAGCGUUAUUCGGAUUUAUUGGGCGUAAAGGGCGCGUAGGCGGUCUGACAAGUGGAAGGCGAAAUCCCCGCGCUUAACGUGGGAACUGCCUUCCAAACUGUUUGACUUGAGUCCGGGAGAGGUGAGUGGAAUUCCCAGUGUAGCGGUGAAAUGCGUAGAUAUUGGGAGGAACACCAGUGGCGAAGGCGGCUCACUGGACCGGAACUGACGCUGAGGCGCGAAAGCGUGGGGAGCAAACAGG